rnacentral:lncRNA from 1 species
UCGUACAUAGUUAUUAAUUUAUCAAACAAUAUUAUUAACAGAGGAAAUAAGUAAGUGUCAUUUACCUAUUUUUAUUUAUAUAUUUCAUUUAUGCAUAUUUAAGGCAUCAACUGCGUGGUUAUUGUUCCUAAGGUUCUUUAGUAGAUUUUUAACUGUAAGGCCCUUAACUUAAGAAGUAGACGGAUUGCCUGUCUGAGCACUAAUGACAAUAUCUGAUGCUUGACAAAUACAAUUAAUAUACUAAUGAACAAAUAUCCCGUGCAUAUGGACCACAAGGAAUAUUUACAAAACAUACAUCCACACUGUUUGUUAGCUCUUUUUCAAUAUAAACACAAAACAAAACAUAGUUUGAAAUAAUAAUAAACCUAUACAAUAGAUACAUCGAUAAAAUAUAUUUAUGGUAAAUAUUACCUAUUUACAUAAUUAUUUAUUAAUCAAACAUUAUUCUUAACAUGUCCAGAUUGUAAGUGCUAUUAAAUUAUUUUUAUUUAUAUCUUGUUAUUUAUUAAUUUUUAAGACAUCAACUAUGUGGUUGUUAGAAUGUAGGUUUGUUAUUAAUUAAUUGAUAACUCGGGUGGUCACAUAUCCGAGGACUAGUGACACCAGCUAUUGGUUAAACUAAAGAAUACAACGGAGGACAACCACAGCACCAAACCAGGCUACUAUCAUUUUAUUGAAUUUCUAACAGUCAGAUAUAAAUAAUAAAUUGUUUUUGAUUGAACUUGUCUUUUACAUUUAUAGAUUCUAACCGGGAUUAUAAUAUAAUUUAAAAAUAUUUGCUAAUUUAAUGAAGUUCAUACACACUGGACUUUUAAAUGGUCUUAACAAAAUUAUGACUGUAUUUUCGAUAUUUUUAAAAGCAGUAAUUUUUGAGGAACAUUGUAUUAAAUUUUCAAUUUUUUACCUUAUAAUAUAAAUUAUACAAAAUAGUUUAAAAAGAUUUUGAAUAUCUAUAAAUAACAAAAACAAUAUCGAAAUAUUUUUUAUGUUAUGAGUGAUAAUGUACAUUAUUUCAUUGAUUAGUUAAUGACUAAUUGCAACCUAAUUUCAAUUAUAAAAUAUAUAUGUUGAACAAUUUUAAUAUGCAUUCGUGGAAGAGCUAUAAAAACUGAGCAUAUAACAUUUUAGAACAAUCAGAAAGACUUUUCUUCCCAAAACUAGAUUAUUACAGUAACAAUUACUAUUGUGAUAUAAAAUUGUACCUAUAAUAACAUUUUUAUUACACAUACUACAUUUUUAUAAGCCGUAGAGAAAACCAGAGGAGUCAAUCAUAUUGAACAAAACUAUAAAUUUCAUAUUGUAUCUUAGCCUAUUGUAUUUUUAAUAACUUUGGUAUUUGAUAUAUAUUGUUUGCAGUUAAUGUGGGUGAAUCUGCAAGAAAAAGACAAGAAAGUAAGUGCUAUUAAAUUAUUUUUAUUUAUAUCUUGUUAUUUAUUAAUUUUCAAGACAUCAACUAUGUGGUUGUUAGAAUGUAGGUUUGUUAUUAAUUAAUUGAUAACUCGGGUGGUCACAUAUCCGAGGACUAGUGACACCAGCUAUUGGUUAAACUAAAGAAUACAACGGAGGACAACCACAGCACCAAACCAGGCUACUAUCAUUUUAUUGAAUUUCUAACAGUCAGAUAUAAAUAAUAAAUUGUUUUUGAUUGAACUUGUCUUUUACAUUUAUAGAUUCUAACCGGGAUUAUAAUAUAAUUUAAAAAUAUUUGCUAAUUUAAUGAAGUUCAUACACACUGGACUUUUAAAUGGUCUUAACAAAAUUAUGACUGUAUUUUCGAUAUUUUUAAAAGCAGUAAUUUUUGAGGAACAUUGUAUUAAAUUUUCAAUUUUUUACCUUAUAAUAUAAAUUAUACAAAAUAGUUUAAAAAGAUUUUGAAAAUCUAUAAAUAACAAAAACAAUAUCGAAAUAUUUUUUAUGUUAUGAGUGAUAAUGUACAUUAUUUCAUUGAUUAGUUAAUGACUAAUUGCAACCUAAUUUCAAUUAUAAAAUAUAUAUGUUGAACAAUUUUAAUAUGCAUUCGUGGAAGAGCUAUAAAAAAUAGUUUAGUAUUUUGUUUCAAAUCUAGAUAUUGUAUCUUCCUACCUUUUAAAAAAAUUAUGUUUACCUUCACUAGACUGAAUUGUUGUGAUAUGAAGUUAUACUUAAUUAUAGUAACCUGUAAUUGAUAAAACUAUGUUUGAUUAUAGUUUGUCAAUCUCAAUCUCAAUUUUUAAGCCAGUAAUAUAAAAAAUAAUCACUCAUAAACCUUUUUUAAAUUUUUAAUUAGAAAAUAAAGCUAUGACCAGUAAGUUCGUUGUUACGUUUAUUGCCAUAUUCUUACUAUACCUUCUCCUAAAAUUACCAGAUAACAAAUCAAACAUUUUUGUAUAGUUAGGUACUUACACCAACUAUUUUAUCCAGUGACCAGUUCCAGUUUAGUUCCAGUUUUUGAAUAGUUGAAUGUUUUAUUAACCCAAUUCUUACUUAACCUGACCAUUAAUACCAUAAUUUCAAUAUUAUUAUAUUCAUUAAAAUGAUUGUCUAGUACACGAAAUUGUGAUCUUUAAAAUUCAAAAUUUAAUUCACGGAUAAAUAAACGGGUCGUUCCAUAUUAUUUUCAUUUUAAUGUAGUUGUCUACUGUUUCUGGCAGCUGAGUAUUUUGAUUCUUUCACUUUCCAAUGCUUUUGGGGGCUACUCUUGGAAUAUCAUGGGGCUGUCAACGCUUAUAUCUCAUAACUCAGAUUUUACAAAAAUACGUUUUAAUUUUAAAAUUAAAAAAAAAAUUUUCAAAAGGAUUGUCAUCACCUAGACAAACGAAGAAAUGAUUGACGUUGGACGUUUGCCAUUCAAAGCAUCACAUUUUUGCUUUACCUAUAAUUUUAUUAUGUGUUAGUCGUUUUAAACAAAACAUAUAAUUAUUAUUCAAUAUGACUAGUUGUUAAAGAUCACUUCAAAGUAAUAUUAUCUUUCUAUCUUGCUUUUAUACAACAGUGUCUAAUGUCUAUACUAAUCGUCAUUGGCCACAAGCACCUACACAUUGCAGAUUUAUGUGUCCACACAUCGGUUUAAAUUUUUCAGGAGCGUAGUUUUUAGUAAUUUGUUUCAUUUACUGUUUCCUAUAAUAUAAUAUAAUUAAUUAUUUAUUAAAAUUUAGAAUAACAUUUUAGAACAAUCUGAAAGAUACUUUUCCCCAAAACUUUUUGCAUAAAUUAUGAUAUAUAAUUAUGCCUCUAGUGUAUUUUGCCCUAUUUUAAAUAAAUUAU